UUAUUAUUUAGAGCUUCUGUUCAGAUCAUUGACGUUUGCAUAUCCCCUGUUUGUAGUAUCAUUUUGUGUCUCAUGUUAUAACUACCAUUUUUUCCCUCUACAACCUGUAAAUUUCGAAUUUAGUUUACUGAUCUAUGAAAGUCAUGUAUAACUUGGCAGAAAUGUUAUCCCUACAAAUAAGAACACCCUUAUUCUUUAUUGUGCAGCAACCAUGUUGACAAGCUGGCAUCUCUUUGUUCUAUUCUAUUGACUUCUUGUGGCAUUAUGUAUGAAGCCCUUUAAGCACAAACCUUUCGACGCAAGGACUGUCAUGGGAUUUGGAGUGCUCAAUGGCAUCUUAAUUGGACUUCUCAACCAGAGUCUAGGUUUCAACUCUGUUGGUUUCUAUCAGAGCAAGUCGAGCGCAUUAGUUGGAUCCAGCUUCUUGAUAUUGCAGAGGACUCGUCAAAAGAUAUACAGGGUUCUCGGCUGGCUGCGAAGAUUUGACAAGAGGCACAAGUAAAAUAGAUCAUCUCUUGUGACUCUCAAGAUAUGUAUCCAGAGGGCAAGUCAGGUCUCGAAAUGCUGACUGAAUAUUCCAUGGCCUUUGUUUUUCUUGCUAGGUGGAUUACUACUUCCUUGGAUAUUUUCAGAAAAUAAGUGAAAUGUGCAGACCGACAACAUGGACGGCAGGUCUUGCGGCUCCCAGCGCCCUCAACCCCCCAUUGACCCUCUCUCAAUUGUGAUCUCUCCUCUACUCUUCUAGGUGGCGAUGAGAGCGGGUGUGAAACGGGAGAGGCGGCCAUAGGAGGUGUAUGAUAGGAAAAGAAUUUCUCUAUGGCAGUGCUUUGACUCGGUGACCAGAGACUGACUGGGUGUGCUUGCAGUUUGAGGUUGAUUUUUUCUGGUAUACAUAUAAUUGGAGGUAGGCGCCAUGGACACCGCUCUUGUGCUCAUCAAGGUCCACUACUCCUUGUUCCAGUCCCAUGACAAGCAGCAGCAACAGCAGCAUCAUGGUUGGGUUGGAGCUACAGCGGCCAGCCACCGGGACGACGCUGACAGCCAAAGGAAGCUCCUUCCCCACCGCUGACAGCCAAAACCGCUCUUGUGCUCAUCAAGUUAAUGUAUAGGACUGCGCUUUUGUGUGUCCUUUCCUUCAAGCUGUCAUUCAAGAGAAGAGAGGGGAGAGGCCUCGAUCCAGACUCAGGAGGAGGAGACGAGGAGCAACACCUAUUUUUAUUGUUUGUCAAGCCCCUACUUUGCGGUUCCAGCCACCUGAUCACUAACCUGAAUGAGUAAGUAGACCAUUAUAUAUGAUGGUCUUGCUUCCUUUUGUGAUCAUGUAUCUAUGUUAGAUCCGGUGAAAAAAAGCGGCUUCCAAGCAGAGGAUGCGGCAGUGUUGGCCACGUUUGGUUUUCAUAAGCUAAUAAUGUAUCCCUUCCUAUCUACUUCCUUUGUGUAUCACAUUGUAACUAAGCAUCUAUGUACCAGCAGCAAAGACUUGGGUGUCUGAAUAUUCUCACAAUAGUUGGCUCCCUCUCGCCUUUU